ACAGCAUCCAGUUGUGGCGGA
rnacentral:miRNA from 1 species